GGGUUGUGAGGUUAAGCGACUAAGCGUACACGGUGGAUGCCCUGGCAGUCAGAGGCGAUGAAGGACGUGCUAAUCUGCGAUAAGCGUCGGUAAGGUGAUAUGAACCGUUAUAACCGGCGAUUUCCGAAUGGGGAAACCCAGUGUGAUUCGUCACACUAUCAUUAACUGAAUCCAUAGGUUAAUGAGGCGAACCGGGGGAACUGAAACAUCUAAGUACCCCGAGGAAAAGAAAUCAACCGAGAUUCCCCCAGUAGCGGCGAGCGAACGGGGAGCAGCCCAGAGCCUGAAUCAGUGUGUGUGUUAGUGGAAGCGUCUGGAAAGGCGCGCGAUACAGGGUGACAGCCCCGUACACAAAAAUGCACAUAUUGUGAGCUCGAUGAG
rnacentral:rRNA from 1 species